GACGAACGCUGGCGGCGUGCUUAACACAUGCAAGUCGAACGGAAAGGCCCUGCUUUUGUUGGGUGCUCGAGUGGCGAACGGGGGAGUAACACGUGAGUAACCUGCCCUUGACUUUGGGAUAACUCCAGGAAACUGGGGCUAAUACCGGAUAUGAGCUCCUGCUGCAUAGUGGGGGUUGGAAAGUUUCGGCGGUUGGGGAUGGACUCGCGGCUUAUGAGCUUGUUGGGCGGGUAGUGGCUUACCAAGGCUUUGACGGAUAGCCGGCCUGAGAGGGUGAACGGCGUCCUUGGGACUGCGAGAGGGAGCAGAAGCGUACGGGCGGCAGUAGGGGGGAACAUGGCGCAACGGGGGGAAGCGUGAGGCAGAAACGCCGGGUGCGGAAUGACGGCCUUUGGGUUGUAAACAGCUUUCGACUGUGAUGUAGCGUGAGUGACGGUAAUGGGUAAAGAAGCCACGGCUAACUACGUG
rnacentral:rRNA from 1 species